UAUUUAUUGAGGGCCUACUAUGUNCCGGGU
rnacentral:piRNA from 1 species